rnacentral:rRNA from 1 species
GAUGAACGCUGGCGGCGUGCCUAAUACAUGCAAGUCGAGCGAACAGAUGAGGAGCUUGCUCCUCUGACGUUAGCGGCGGACGGGUGAGUAACACGUGGAUAACCUACCUAUAAGACUGGGAUAACUUCGGGAAACCGGAGCUAAUACCGGAUAAUAUAUUGAACCGCAUGGUUCAAUAGUGAAAGACGGUUUUGCUGUCACUUAUAGAUGGAUCCGCGCCGCAUUAGCUAGUUGGUAAGGUAACGGCUUACCAAGGCAACGACGCGUAGCCGACCUGAGAGGGUGAUCGGCCACGCUGGAACUGAGACACGGUCCAGACUCCUACGGGAGGCAGCAGUAGGGAAUCUUCCGCAAUGGGCGAAAGCCUGACGGAGCAACGGCGCGUGAGUGAUGAAGGUCUUCGGAUCGUAAAACUCUGUUAUUAGGGAAGAACAAAUGUGUAAGUAACUAUGCACGUCUUGACGGUACCUAAUCAGAAAGCCACGGCUAACUACGUG